UUAAAUUGAAGAGUUUGAUCAUGGCUCAGAUUGAACGCUGGCGGCAGGCCUAACACAUGCAAGUCGAACGGUAACAGGAAGAAGCUUGCUUCUUUGCUGACGAGUGGCGGACGGGUGAGUAAUGUCUGGGAAACUGCCUGAUGGGGGGGGAUAACUACUGGAAACGGUAGCUAAUACCGCAUAACGUCGCAAGACCAAAGAGGGGGACCUUCGGGCCUCUUGCCAUCGGAUGUGCCCAG
rnacentral:rRNA from 1 species